rnacentral:rRNA from 1 species
AGCAGUAGCCACGGUAAAACGAAGGGUGCAAGCGUUACUCGGAAUUACUGGGCGUAAAGCGUGCGUAGGUGGUGGUUUAAGUCCGUUGUGAAAGCCCUGGGCUCAACCUGGGAAUUGCAGUGGAUACUGGGUCACUAGAGUGUGGUAGAGGAUAGUGGAAUUUCCGGUGUAGCAGUGAAAUGCGUAGAGAUCGGAAGGAACAUCUGUGGCGAAGGCGACUAUCUGGGCCAACACUGACACUGAGGCACGAAAGCGUGGGGAGCAAACAGGAUUAGAUACCCCAGUAGUCCCUGUCUCUUAUAC